rnacentral:rRNA from 1 species
CAGCCGCCACGGUAAUACAGAGGGUGCGAGCGUUAAUAGGAUUUACUGGGCGUAAAGCGUGCGUAGGCGGCUUUUUAAGUCGGAUGUGAAAUCCCUGAGCUUAACUUAGGAAUUGCAUUCGAUACUGGGAAGCUAGAGUAUGGGAGAGGAUGGUAGAAUUCCAGGUGUAGCGGUGAAAUGCGUAGAGAUCUGGAGGAAUACCGAUGGCGAAGGCAGCCAUCUGGCCUAAUACUGACGCUGAGGUACGAAAGCAUGGGGAGCAAACAGGAUUAGAUACCCGCGUAGUCCCUGUCUCUUAUAC